rnacentral:rRNA from 1 species
GAUGAACGCUGGCGGCGUGCCUAAUACAUGCAAGUCGAGCGAACGGACGAGAAGCUUGCUUCUCUGAUGUUAGCGGCGGACGGGUGAGUAACACGUGGAUAACCUACCUAUAAGACUGGGAUAACUUCGGGAAACCGGAGCUAAUACCGGAUGAUAUUUUGAACCGCAUGGUUCAAAAGUGAAAGACGGUCUUGCUGUCACUUAUAGAUGGAUCCGCGCUGCAUUAGCUAGUUGGGAAGGUAACGGCUUACCAAGGCAACGAUGCAUAGCCGACCUGAGAGGGGGAUCGGCCACACUGGAACUGAGACACGGUCCAGACUCCUACGGGAGGCAGCAGUAGGGAAUCUUCCGCAAUGGGCGAAGGCCUGACGGAGCAACGCCGCGUGAGUGAUGAAGGUCUUCGGAUCGUAAAACUCUGUUAUUAGGGAAGAACAUAUGUGUAAGUAACUGUGCACAUCGUGACGGUACCUAAUCAGAAAGCCACGGCUAACUACGUG